CGGACGGGUGAGUAAUGUCUGGGAAACUGCCUGAUGGAGGGGGAUAACUACUGGAAACGGUAGCUAAUACCGCAUAAUGUCUACGGACCAAAGCGGGGGACCUCCGGGCCUCGCGCCAUCAGAUGAACCCAUAUGGGAUUAGCUAGUAGGUAAGGUAACGGCUUACCUAGGCGACGAUCCCUAGCUGGUCUGAGAGGAUGAUCAGCCACACUGGAACUGAGACACGGUCCAG
rnacentral:rRNA from 1 species